AGAUCGAACUGUAGAGUUUGAUCCUGGCUCAGAUUGAACGCUGGCGGCAUGCCUUACACAUGCAAGUCGAACGGUAACAGGUCUUCGG
rnacentral:rRNA from 1 species